rnacentral:rRNA from 1 species
ACAGCAGCCGCCGCGGGAAUACAGAGGGUGCGAGCGUUAAUCGGAUUUACUGGGCGUAAAGCGUGCGUAGGCGGCUUCUUAAGUCGGAUGUGAAAUCCCUGAGCUUAACUUAGGAAUUGCAUUCGAUACUGGGAAGCUAGAGUAUGGGAGAGGAUGGUAGAAUUCCAGGUGUAGCGGUGAAAUGCGUAGAGAUCUGGAGGAAUACCGAUGGCGAAGGCAGCCAUCUGGCCUAAUACUGACGCUGAGGUACGAAGCAUGGGGAGCAAACAGGAUUAGAUACCCGGGUAGUCCAUGUCUCUUAUACA